CAUUCUGAGUGGUUGGAAGGCAUAAUUUCUUGGAAAAAUGGCCGCCAGAGGAGCAGCGUGAACUCGAGCGGCUUUAGAGACUAGGAAAACUGCUUUAAAAUAUUUUGACUUGAGGGAAAGCUUCGUUAACAAACUAUAACACGGCAAUCAGCACUCGAAUACGACGAGAGAAAUUAUUGAGACGUGGAAAAUUCCCUUGAAAUAAAUCUGGUUUGCGAGACAAA
rnacentral:lncRNA from 1 species